GCCAAAAAUCUAGCCCAAUCUCAACUAAUGAAAACAAACUUCCUCCCCAUAUAAACUAAAACAUUCUAACAAUUUAGUAAAGGCGAUUAAAAAAUUUCUUGGAGCUAUACCUAGAGUACCGCAAGGGAAAGAUGAAAUAGAAAUGAAAAACUUUUAAGCACAGAAUAGUAGAGAUUAUACCUCGUACCUUUUGCAUCAUGGUUUGACUAGUCAAAUCAAGCAAAAUGAAUUACAGUUUGACCUCCCGAAACUAAGUGAGCUACUUCAAGGCAGCUUAAUGAGCCAACCCGUCCCUGUUGCAAAAGGGUGGGAAGACCUUCAAGUAGGGGUGACAGACCUAACGAACUUAGUGAUAGCUGGUUACUCAAAAAAAGGAUUUUAGUCCAACCUAAAGCUAAAAUAAUAACCUAAAAUAAAAACUUAACUUUAGAGCAAUUCAAAUAAGGUACAGCCUAUUUGAAACAGGAUACAACCUACACUAACGGGUUAUUUUAAACUUAUUGUACAACAAAGUGGGCCUAAAAGCAGCCACCUUUAAAAUAGCGUCAAAGCUUAAUUGUCCUUUAAAACUUAUUCCUCUACUCUCUUUAAACCCUUUACCACUACUGAGUAAUUCUAUAACCCUAUAGAAAAUUUUAUGUCAAAACUAGUAACAAGAAGAAGACCUUCUCUUUAAUGUACAUAUAAAUCAGAAAGGACACACCACUGAUAAUUAACAUCUCUGAACACAUAGUAGUAACCUCGCAAGAAAACCCUACUAAACAUCAUGUUAACCUAACACAAGAACAUUACAAGAAAGAUUAAAAGAAAAAGAAGGAACUCGGCAAAUUUUAACCUCGCCUGUUUACCAAAAACAUCGCCUUUUGAAACAUAUAAAAGGUCCAGCCUGCCCAGUGACUCUGUUCAACGGCCGCGGUAUCCUAACCGUGCGAAGGUAGCGUAAUCACUUGUUCUUUAAAUGAGGACUAGUAUGAAUGGCACCACGAAGGUUACACUGUCUCCUUUCUCUAAUCAGUAAAACUAAUCUUCCCGUGAAGAAGCGGGGAUUUUUAUAUAAGACGAGAAGACCCUAUGGAGCUUUAAACGAAAUAACAACUACCUUUAUAACUAACAAUUUCAGAAAAUAAGUAUUAAUUUUGGUAUAAUGAUUACUAGUUUUAGGUUGGGGUGACCGCGGAGCAAAAAACAACCUCCGCAUUGAACGGACCUAUACUCCUAAGCAAAAAGCCACAACUUUAUGCAUCAACACAUUGACAUCCAUUGACCCAUUAAUUUGAUCAACGAACCAAGUUACCCUAGGGAUAACAGCGCAAUCCAUUUCAAGAGCUCCUAUCGACAAAUGGGUUUACGACCUCGAUGUUGGAUCAGGGUAUCCCGGUGGUGCAGCCGCUACCAAAGGUUCGUUUGUUCAACGAUUAAAACCCUACGUGAUCUGAGUUCAGACCGGAGUAAUCCAGGUCAGUUUCUAUCUAUAACUGAGCUUUUUCUAGUACGAAAGGACCGAAAAAACAUGGCCAAUACCAAUGGCAAGCCAUAAUCCUUAAUUUAUGUAAUCAACUUAACUAACACAGGAUCCACCAAACAGCUUAAGAACAAAGCA
rnacentral:rRNA from 1 species